rnacentral:misc_RNA from 1 species
UACGUGAGCCCCAAGCGUUACCCGGAAUCACUGGGCGUAAAGGGUGUGUAGGCGGUUAUGUUAGUCUCUUGUGAAAGCCCGCGGCUCAACUGCGGAGGCGCGAGAGAAACGGCACAACUAGAGGAUGCGAGAGGCCAAGGGAACUCAUGGUGUAGGGGUGAAAUCCGUUGAUAUCAUGGGGAACACCAAAAGCGAAGGCACUUGGCUGGCGCACUCCUGACGCUCAAACACGAAAGCGUGGGUAGCGAAUGGG